rnacentral:rRNA from 1 species
AUUGAACGCUGGCGGCAGGCUUAACACAUGCAAGUCGAGCGGAGAUGAGGUGCUUGCACCUUAUCUUAGCGGCGGACGGGUGAGUAAUGCUUAGGAAUCUGCCUAUUAGUGGGGGACAACAUUCCGAAAGGAAUGCUAAUACCGCAUACGCCCUACGGGGGAAAGCAGGGGAUCUUCGGACCUUGCGCUAAUAGAUGAGCCUAAGUCGGAUUAGCUAGUUGGUGGGGUAAAGGCCUACCAAGGCGACGAUCUGUAGCGGGUCUGAGAGGAUGAUCCGCCACACUGGGACUGAGACACGGCCCAGACUCCUACGGGAGGCAGCAGUGGGGAAUAUUGGACAAUGGGCGGAAGCCUGAUCCAGCCAUGCCGCGUGUGUGAAGAAGGCCUUCUGGUUGUAAAGCACUCUAAGCGAGGAGGAGGCUACCUGGAUUAAUACUCUAGGAUAGUGGACGUUACUCGCAGAAUAAGCACCGGCUAACUCUGUGCCAGCAGCCGCGGUAACAC